rnacentral:rRNA from 1 species
CCUACGGGAGGCAGCAGUGAGGAAUAUUGGUCAAUGGACGAAAGUCUGAACCAGCCAAGUAGCGUGAAGGAUGACUGCCCUAUGGUUUGUAAACUUCUUUUAUAUGGGAAUAAAAUGUUCCACGUGUGGGAUUUUGUAUGUACCCUAUGAAUAAGGAUCGGCUAACUCCGUGCCAGCAGCCGCGGUAAUACGGAGGAUCCGAGCGUUAUCCGGAUUUAUUGGGUUUAAAGGGAGCGUAGGUGGAUUGUUAAGUCAGUUGUGAAAGUUUGCGGCUCAACCGUAAAAUUGCAGUUGAAACUGGUAGUCUUGAGUACAGUAGAGGUGGGCGGAAUUCGUGGUGUAGCGGUGAAAUGCUUAGAUAUCACGAAGAACUCCGAUUGCGAAGGCAGCUCACUGGACUGCAACUGACACUGAGGCUCGAAAGUGUGGGUAUCAAACAGGAUUAGAUACCCUUGUAGUC